rnacentral:rRNA from 1 species
UUUUAAAUCCGGCUUCGGCCCGAGUUGUAAUUUGUAGAGGGUGUCUCGGGGGCGACCCGGCCUAAGUUCCUUGGAACAGGGCGUCGUAGAGGGUGAGAAUCCCGUAUGCGGCCGGCAGUCAACCCUAUGUGAGGCCCCUUCGACGAGUCGAGUUGUUUGGGAAUGCAGCUCAAAAUGGGUGGUAAAUUUCAUCUAAAGCUAAAUACCGGCCAGAGACCGAUAGCGCACAAGUAGAGUGAUCGAAAGAUGAAAAGCACUUUGAAAAGAGAGUUAAAAAGUACGUGAAAUUGUUGAAAGGGAAGCGCUUGCAACCAGACUUGUUCGCGGGGGAUCAAGCCGGCCCUUGGGCCGGCGCACUCCCCUGCCGCAGGCCAGCAUCGGUUUGGGCGGCCGGACAAAGGCCCCGGGAACGUAGCUCCCCCCGGGGAGUGUUAUAGCCCGGGGUGCAAUGCGGCCAGCCGGGACCGAGGACCACGCUCCGGCUAGGAUGCUGGCGUAAU